rnacentral:rRNA from 1 species
CAGCCGCCGCGGGAAUACGUAGGGCGCAAGCGUUAUCCGGAAUUAUUGGGCGUAAAGAGCUCGUAGGCGGUUUGUCGCGUCUGCUGUGAAAUCCCGAGGCUCAACCUCGGGCCUGCAGUGGGUACGGGCAGACUAGAGUGCGGUAGGGGAGAUUGGAAUUCCUGGUGUAGCGGUGGAAUGCGCAGAUAUCAGGAGGAACACCGAUGGCGAAGGCAGAUCUCUGGGCCGUAACUGACGCUGAGGAGCGAAAGGGUGGGGAGCAAACAGGCUUAGAUACCCCGGUAGUCCCUGUCUCUUAUAC